GCCUCGGUGGUGGAAUUGGUAGACGCGCCGGAUUCAAAAUCCGGUUCCUUCACGGGAGUGUCGGUUCGAGUCCGACCCGAGGCACCA
rnacentral:tRNA from 1 species